CAGUACCGUGAGGGAAAGGUGAAAAGCACCCCGGAAGGGGAGUGAAAGAGAUCCUGAAACCGUGUGCCUACAAAUAGUCAGAGCCCGUUAAUGGGUGAUGGCGUGCCUUUUGUAGAAUGAACCGGCGAGUUACGAUCCCGUGCAAGGUUAAGCUGAAGAGGCGGAGCCGCAGCGAAAGCGAGUCUGAAUAGGGCGUUUAGUACGUGGUCGUAGACCCGAAACCAGGUGAUCUACCCAUGUCCAGGGUGAAGUUCAGGUAACACUGAAUGGAGGCCCGAACCCACGCACGUUGAAAAGUGCGGGGAUGAGGUGUGGGUAGCGGAGAAAUUCCAAUCGAACCUGG
rnacentral:rRNA from 1 species